AUAUGCCCCAGGGUUAAUUAGUACCUAAAAUGCUACCUUUGGUUUGUGAAAAAGAUCUAGAGUGGCUUCUGCAGCUCCUGUUAUGUUUCAUUGAUUCAGUCAUGUAGUAGGAUAGUUCCACUGGAUUUUACUAAAUGGUUUUGUAGCUUUACUUAGUGAAAAUGCCUCAAUUGGUUUCCGCAACAUUGCUUGUCUGUUGGCAGCUGGAGCAUACUUGGUACAUGAGCCUUGCCGUGAGUGGUGGUGCAACGGUGACCUUGACGAGCAGGGCAAUGGCCAGACACGAGUAAGACACCAAAGAUGACUGGAAGCACUCAAAAAAGUUUACCACGCUGGAGCUAUGUCAGGUUGUACGAGGGCAGUUAAUGAAUAUACUUGCGACCCUUUUACUCUCAGGUAAAUCACUAAUUAUUACAUGAUCUUUCAUAGUUGAAGUACCUACCAAAGGUAGUUAUUUUAUCCUUCUAACACGAGCAAUGAACAUUUUUUGCCAUUAAUUAUGGUCACAUUAUUGCUUCUUGGUUAAAAAAAUUCAGUAGAGGGUUGUAGCUAUUUGGAGUGCAGAAUUAUUAAGUACAGAGCAAGGAUUCCAAUUGGUCAUACAUGAAGUGAUACUCUUGCAAGAGCUAUGCAAUUAAAGUUUAUUUAAUUACAGUUUCACCACACUAUGAAAAGGGUACAACCUACCAAUCUUGAGAGCAUUAAUGUAACAACUUUUUGUAGCUUAGAAAUCCAAUGGAAACUAAUAAGGUAAAUAUGCUUCUUUCUUGCAGACUUGCAGUUCUGUUUUAUUCAUUACCCUGCUGCAAGCUCUUGGUCGUAUACUGUAUAUAAGUAAAUUGUCUUUGCUUCUUGGUCCAAGGGACAAAAUUGCUGAAUGAUUUUGGCAUCUCCUGAUUUUCCUUCUCCAUGGUUUGCCAUGUUCUGUGGUCUGAAUUUAGUUUCUUUUUCUUUGUCUAAAUUCUGUGCAAAUUCAUGGAACCCACACUGUUUGCAAGUUUGGUUUGCCUUUUUCCUUUAAAGAUUUGUACUGCUCUAUUUUUUUUAAUUGUUGAGGCAACAAAAUACCCCUUAUGUCAUGUAUGCUUCUUUGAUAGCAGUUUAUUAAGUGCUUAUACCAUAAUAUCUCUGAUAUAAGUACUCUAAUUAUAAUAGUAGCAAUCUAAAUUUAUUAUUGGCUUGAAAAUAAAAUAUUUGUGAGGAUAGAAAGGAAAUAUCAGCUUCACUCUGCAUUUCUUAUAGAUGUACCUAGGAGAAAUGCAGAAUUAAGAAGAGCUAUUUUCAGAACACCACUAUCUAUAUCUCUAUAUAUAUGCGGAACUCAAAACUCUUUUUGAAGAUGGAUGGAUGAACUUGAUCCCUGUCCAUCUCUGCUUUUUUCGGUACAUGAUUGUGCACCUCCUAUGCCUACUUAAUUGUGUGUUCAUUUUGUUAAUCAAGAAGCAUAUGAUUUUAUGGCUGGGUACGUUGAAAAUAUAUAAAACCUUUCUUCUUUUGGAUAAUCUGUUUCCCUUUCGCUAAUCUUUGUUACUUGCCUACACAUCUAUGCAUACUAUUCACUACUGCUACCAAUCCCAUGCUUGUUUGUUCAGAUACUUGAAUGGUGGAACAUGGCUUUUGUUCGAUGGCGAUUUUCCAAUCUUUGUAUGUGUUGCAUUCUUUUGUCCAAAAGUAGAGAUGUACUUUCUUCAAGAAGAAAAUGCUAAGUCUUUUACUAGCAAAGAUGUCGAUCUUGCACAUUUAGCUCUCUACGCAGUCUCACUAUCAUCUUGUGUAGUUUAUUUAUAGGGGUUGAAUACAGAAUUUUAGCCCUCCUAUUUUAGAGUAUGAAUCGGAAUCUAAAUCAGCAAUUGUAAAAAUGAUCAGUAAUUGUGCUUACUUUUUAGACUCUCCUCCUUUUCUCGCUGCUGAACCCCUGCCAUCAUCAUGUCCACUCCGCGCCCGCCCCGUGCUUGACGUGCACAUCCUGAGCCCCGCGCCCCCUUGGCUCUCUCCUCUCCCUCCUUGUCGCCAACCCUAAACAUUUUCCCUCUCCACCCUACAGCCGCCUCCCCUAGCUCCUCGUCCCCUUCACUCAGUCCAUUCCUCAUCAUCUCGGAUCCAGCGGAUCUGAGGCGUGCGGGUGCGGAGGCGAGUUUCUCCGGCGGCGGCGGCGGCGGUCACCUGCAGGCAAAGGGCGGUGGCCGCAGUCGAUUUGAUCUGCAGGAAAGAUAGAACAUGAGGAGAGAGAAGGAAAGGUGGAACGCCACCAUGGGCGAGGAGGGGCAACAUGGUCUUCGUGGUGGGAAUGGAGGAGCAGAGGAGGAUGGAGGUGGGUGGUGGGAGUACAGUAGCAGGAGUUCCAGGUCCAGGCGACGCUCGUGGAGUGGAGAAGCUCGUCGUCCAGCAUCACCAUCCCCAAUCUAGAUCUGAGAUAGAAAAGAAGAGAAAUAAUCUUGUGGAAUUUCUUAUCUGAGAUAGAAAAGAAGAGAAAGAUCUUGUGGAAGAGCUUGACGAAAAAGAAAGGGAUCUGAGAUAGAAAAGAAGAGAAAUAAUCUUGUGGAAUUUCAUAUCUGAGAAAAGAAGAGAAAGAUUCUUGUGGAAGAGCAGCUUGACAAAAAAGAAAGGGGGGGCACAACUGUACACCACCAUGAACAGGGGCAACACUCACAUUUACCCUCCAAAAUUCAACAUUUUCAUAUUUUGAGGAGCUUCAGUACGUUUGCUCACCGAUGAACUAGAAGUUGUUUUGUGUACUGCAUGAUUGAGGAAGUGCUAUUGCAGAUCAAAGUUGGUAGAAGCAUCUGCUGGGAAUCAAGUGUUACAUGGCUGUGGGUGACAAGGUUAGUGGUUUAGGAGUUCCUGCCAACACUGGCUUUUGGAAUUUAUCCUCGCUUCAUCAGUUGGGAUUUCUGUACAAAACUAAGAUAAUUUAUUUUGGUGCUUGCGAUGAGUAUUAGAUAGAGGGGUGAUGCACACAUACUUCACCCAGUGUAUCUGUUCAUGUAUGUUGUUAAUUGACUAAUUAGACAAAAAACCUCUAUCUGUAUGGUGUUUGUGAUGAUGCUAUCAAUUCACCAAACACUAAAAUACCGGGUUGUGCUUUUCAAAUCUAGCAAAUUAAUUCUCUA